AGUUGAAGAAAUUACAUAAUUUAAACUCAAACCCCAUCUGAUCUUGGAAGCUAAGCAGGAUCCGGCCUGGUUAGUACUUGGAUGGGAGACCCCCUAGGAAGACCAGGUGCUGUAGGUG
rnacentral:rRNA from 1 species